CAAACGGGUGAGUAACACGUGGGUGACCUACCCCGGAGUGGGGAAUAACGGACCGAAAGGUUCGCUAAUACCGCAUAUGCUCGGUGAUUCAAUUUAUCGAGUAAAGUCGCAAGACGCUUUGGGAGGGACCCGCGGCCCAUCAGGUAGUUGGUGAGGUAAUGGCCCACCAAGCCAAUGACGGGUAGCUGGUCUGAGAGGACGAUCAGCCACAAUGGAACUGAGAUACGGUCCAU
rnacentral:rRNA from 1 species